UUUUUAUAUCUUCACUAAAUUAAAUCCUUUCUUACUAAAACUUAGGUUCAUUUAUUAGUGAUAGUCUUAUCAAGACUUUCUUUUUUUAAUACUGUUUAUACAGGACUGUAGGUAUUACAAUUAAUAUUUACACACAGAUUCUACAAUUGGGACCUUUAUCGUGGCAUGUACUCCUCUGAAGCGCUGCCCAAAUUCUUCAAACCCUCUCAAAUAUUCGAGAGCUGUCCACUCUACUCACAUUUCGUGAGGAAUAGACUGGCUCCACUCAAUUAUGUGAUAAUUGAGGAAUGAUUGUAAAUAAGUCCCAUAAAUACUUUUAUGGAGGCUCGAACCCUUGCACUCAUUAUUCUAAGUGCAAGGGCUCUCCCACUGGACCAAAGGCCCAUUGGUUAGUCUUAUCAAGACUUCAAUCUUAAGUUCAAGUCUCAUGUAGUGUGCGUAUGUGUUUAAUUAAUAAAACAAAUUACGCCAUAUAUAUUUCUUCCAAUUUUGCAAGGCUUACAAAGACUGAAAAGACAUUGAAAUAACAUAACGAAAAUACCCAAACUUUAUUCUGUUUCUUGUUACUUAUUAGUCUCCACUCUCCAGUAGACCUGCCACUUUACAAAAUAUACAUUUUGUCAAUAUAUGAAAUAAAAGAUUGAUUAAUCUUUAAAACAAGCUUUGGGAAAAAUAUUUACUUCUUUUGAGAUGUUCUGGCAUCGGGUGCACGAGCAUUAACAUCAUACAAUCUAGGGAAAAGGACAUUCAACCCCCCAAUGUUUAGGAAAAGAGACAAAAAAUCCCUCAACAUUUCAAAAAGGACUUAUAACUCCAUUUCCGUUAAUAAACACCAUUUGUUUUAACAGUAAAUUUAUUUUUAAUUUUUAAUUACUAUUAUACCCUUA
rnacentral:lncRNA from 1 species